rnacentral:rRNA from 1 species
UACGGGGGGGGCAAGCGUUGUUCGGAAUUACUGGGCGUAAAGGGCUCGUAGGCGGCCAACUAAGUCAGACGUGAAAUCCCCAGGCUCAACCUGGGAACUGCGUCUGAUACUGGAUGGCUUGAAUCCGGGAGAGGGAUGCAGAAUUCCAGGUGUAGCGGUGAAAUGCGUAGAUAUCUGGAGGAAUACCGGCGGCGAAGGCGGCAUCCUGGACCGGCAUUGACGCUGAGGAGCGAAAGCUAGGGGAGCAAACGGG